rnacentral:rRNA from 1 species
GAUGAACGCUGGCGGCGUGCUUAACACAUGCAAGUCGAACGAUGAAGCCCAGCUUGCUGGGUGGAUUAGUGGCGAACGGGUGAGUAACACGUGAGUAACCUGCCCUUAACUCUGGGAUAAGCCUGGGAAACUGGGUCUAAUACCGGAUAGGAGCGCCUACCGCAUGGUGGGUGUUGGAAAGAUUUAUCGGUUUUGGAUGGACUCGCGGCCUAUCAGCUUGUUGGUGAGGUAAUGGCUCACCAAGGCGACGACGGGUAGCCGGCCUGAGAGGGUGACCGGCCACACUGGGACUGAGACACGGCCCAGACUCCUACGGGAGGCAGCAGUGGGGAAUAUUGCACAAUGGGCGUAAGCCUGAUGCAGCGACGCCGCGUGAGGGAUGACGGCCUUCGGGUUGUAAACCUCUUUCAGUAGGGAAGAAGCGAAAGUGACGGUACCUGCAGAAGAAGCACCGGCUAACUACGUG